GAUGAACGCUGGCGGCGUGCCUAAUACAUGCAAGUAGAACGCUGAAGCUUGGUGCUUGCACCGAGCGGAUGAGUUGCGAACGGGUGAGUAACGCGUAGGUAACCUGCCUGGUAGCGGGGGAUAACUAUUGGAAACGAUAGCUAAUACCGCAUAACAGUCGACAUUGCAUGAUGUUGAUUUAAAAGGGGCAAAUGCUCCACUACCAGAUGGACCUGCGUUGUAUUAGCUAGUUGGUGAGGUAACGGCUCACCAAGGCGACGAUACAUAGCCGACCUGAGAGGGUGAUCGGCCACACUGGGACUGAGACACGGCCCAGACUCCUACGGGAGGCAGCAGUAGGGAAUCUUCGGCAAUGGACGGAAGUCUGACCGAGCAACGCCGCGUGAGUGAAGAAGGUUUUCGGAUCGUAAAAGCUCUGUUGUAAAGAGAAAGAAACGAAGUGUGAGAAGUGGAAAAGUUCCACCAC
rnacentral:rRNA from 1 species